AGAGUUUGAUCCUGGCUCAGAGCGAACGCUGGCGGCGUGCUUAACACAUGCAAGUCGAACGUGAAUGGGAGCAAUCCCUAGUAAAGUGGCGUACGGGUGAGUAACGCGUAGGUAAUCUACCCCAGAGUCUGGAAUAACUGGCCGAAAGGCUGGCUAAUACUGGAUAGAGCGAUGGAAUCCGUAAUUGGGUUUUUCGGGAAAGGGAGGAAGCAAUUCCCUUUGCUUUGGGAUGAGCCUGCGUCUCAUUAGCUAGUUGGUGGGGUAAUGGCCCACCAAGGCUUUGAUGGGUAGCUGGUCUGAGAGGAUGAUCAGCCACACUGGAACUGAAACACGGUCCAGACUCCUACGGGAGGCAGCAGUGGGGAAUCUUGCGCAAUGGACGAAAGUCUGACGCAGCCACGCCGCGUGAGUGAAGAAGGCCUUCGGGUUGUAAAGCUCUGUCGAGCGGGACGAAACGUCCUAGGGUGAAUAGCCCUAGGAUUGACGGUACCGCUAAAGAGACC
rnacentral:rRNA from 1 species